rnacentral:rRNA from 1 species
UACGUAGGGGGCAAGCGUUGUCCGGAUUCAUUGGGCGUAAAGAGCUUGUAGGCGGCCAGGUAGGUCGGUUGUGAAAACUGGAGGCUCAACCUUCAGAGGUCGACCGAAACCAUCUGGCUAGAGUCCGGGAGAGGAGAGUGGAAUUCCUGGUGUAGCGGUGAAAUGCGCAGAUAUCAGGAAGAACACCCGUGGCGAAAGCGGCUCUCUGGAACGGUACUGACGCUGAGGCGCGAAAGCGUGGGGAGCGAACAGG